UUCCACCUCACUGGAGAGAGGCCGCCGAUUCGAGCGAACGGCGGCCCACCGAAGGGGCAAGGACCACCGCCGGGGUGGCUUCCGAAUCUCUCAGGUAAAGCGGACAGCGGGGGCACG
rnacentral:ncRNA from 2 species